rnacentral:siRNA from 1 species
UAUCUAGAUUACAGGGCUUAU